CGGGCCAGCAAAUCCCUCUUUUGGAGCCCAGCAAGCCUACAUAGAAGGGCUGCAAGAGACGAUUAAGAAGGGUGCUGGUCCAAAAAGGGCACCAGGAUACAAAUAAGCGCGGGGAGUAUGCUGCUCGGAUUCGAUUCAUCGUAUAAAAGAGAAUAAAUCUUGAAAAAAGCUUCUGCCCCGUUCGGAGGUGUUCAAGAUUCCGAGCCGUCAACCUGCUUCGAUCAUAUCGAAAGGGUGCAGAGCGAGCUGGUGGGGAGGAAGCGGGACGAGAUCCAGUCCAAGGAUGACGAUUCCCCUGUCGCCGUCGCAGGGAUUUCUGCACGAAAGGAGUGAUUUUUUACUUUGGGGUUCGUCCUCUAGAAGGCUGUUUGAGGAUCAAAGUUUUGAUCUUUUCUGCCUAUUUGUGCUUGUUUAGGAUGUGUUGAUUGGUUUCUUUGGUGGAGUGCCGGAUUGGUAUUUGUUGGGGUUGUUACCGUUAUUGUUUGUUAGAUCUUUUAUAAUGCUUGUGGUCAUUUUAUUUUACCAUCUUGCAUCUUUGGAUCUGUUAUUUCGAGGAGCUGAAAGGUAAUUGAAGACAUAUUGUAUGAUUGGGGUAUGGAAGACUAAAAGAAAAUGCUUUUCUAGGCUGUUUGAGUGAUAUUGCUAUAUGUCUUUAUGAGGCUUGAAGAAACUCUUGUAUAAGACAACAGUAAUCUUGCAAUGUUGCAGCAGUUAAAAGUGUUGG